GCGUGUAGCGGCGGACGGGUGAGUAAUACGUAGGAAAUUGCCCUUAAGUGGGGGAUAACCAUUGGAAACCGGGGCUAAUACCGGAUGGUGUCGCACGGCCAAAGAGGGGGAGCUUCGGGCCUCUCGCGUCAGGAUAUGCCUAGGGCGCAUUAGCUAGUUGGUGAGGUAACGGCUCACCAAGGCGACGAUGCGUAGCCGACCUGAGAGGGUGAUCGGCCACACUGGGACUGAGACACGGCCCAGACUCCUACGGGAGGCAGCAGUAGGGAAUCUUCCGCAAUGGACGAAAGCCUGACGGAGCAAUGCCGCGUGAGUGAUGAAGGCCUUCGGAUCGUAAAGCUCUUUCAUUAGGGAAGAACGUGGGGGCGUUAAUAGGGCGGCACCUUGACGUUACCGAACCAGAAAGCCACGGCUAACUACGUGCCAGCAGCCGCGGUAAUACGGAGGGUGCAAGCGUUAUUCGGAAUUACUGGGCGUAAAGGGCAUGCAGGUGGUUUCUUAAGUCUGAUGUGAAAGCCCCCGGCUCAACCUCGGAAUAGCAUUGGAAACUGGGGAACUUGAGUACAGAAGAGGGGGGUGGAAUUUCACGUGUAGCGGUGAAAUGCGUAGAGAUGUGGAGGAAUACCAGUGGCGAAGGCGACGCCCUGGUCAGAAACUGACGCUGAGGAGCGAAAGCGUGGGGAGCGAACAGGAUUAGAUACCCUGGUAGUCCACGCCGUAAACGAUGAGUACUAAGUGGUAGGGGGCUUCAGCCCUGGGUUUCGCAGCUAACGCGUUAAGUACUCCGCCUGGGGAGUACGGUCGCAAGAUUGAAACUCAAAUGAAUUGACGGGGGCCCGCACAAGCGGUGGAGCAUGUGGUUUAAUUCGAAGCAACGCGAAGAACCUUACCAGGUCUUGACAUCCUGCGGACAAUCCAGAGAUGGAUUGGUCCCUUCGGGAACAGAGUGACAGGUGGUGCAUGGGUGUCGUCAGCUCGUGUAGUGAGAUGUUGGGUUAAGUCCCGCAACGAGCGCAACCCUUAUCCUUGAUUGCCAGCAUGUAAUGUCGGGCACUCCAAGGUGACUGCCGGUGAUAAACCGGAGGAAGGUGGGGAGGACGUCAAAUCAUCAUGCCCCUUACGACCUGGGCUACACACGUGCUACAAUGGACAGAACAAAGGGCAGCGAAAUUGCGAGACUAAGCCAAUCCCACAAAGUGCGUCGUAGUCCGGAUUGCAGUCUGCAACUCGACUGCGUGAAGUCGGAAUCGCUAGUAAUCGUGGAUCAGAAUGCCGCGGUGAAUACGUUCCCGGGCCUU
rnacentral:rRNA from 1 species